rnacentral:rRNA from 1 species
GACGAACGCUGGCGGCGUGCCUAACACAUGCAAGUCGAGCGAUGAAAUCCCUUCGGGGAUGGAUUAGCGGCGGACGGGUGAGUAACACGUGGGUAACCUGCCUCAAAGUGGGGGAUAGCCUUCCGAAAGGAAGAUUAAUACCGCAUAAUAUUAGAUUUUCGCAUGAAGAACUAAUUAAAGGAGCAAUCCGCUUUGGGAGCGGCCCGCGUACGAUUAGAUAGUUGGUGAGGUAAUGGCUCACCAAGUCGACGAUCGUUAGCUGGUCUGAGAGGAUGAUCAGCCAGACUGGGACUGAGACACGGCCCAGACUCCUACGGGAGGCAGCAGUAAGGAAUCUUCCACAAUGGGGGCAACCCUGAUGGAGCAACGCCGCGUGCAGGAUGAAGGUUUUCGGAUCGUAAACUGCUUUUAUAAGUGAAGAAUAUGACGGUAACUUAUGAAUAAGGAUCGGCUAACUACGUGCCAGCCGCCGCGGUAAAAC